GGAGUAAACAUGGCGGCGUGCGUUGCGCGUGGGGUAAUCGCGGCGACGUGCGUCGCGUGUAGGGUAGUCCCGGCGACGUGCGUCGCGUGUGGGGUAGUCCUGACCACGUACGUCACGUCUCUCACGCGAUCGGUUGCCGUAGCGACGCGUGUCGCUGCGGAGGCGCGCCCGCUCGUCCUCCUCCUCUGCAGGAUAGCCACGCAGCACCUCCGCGUAGCUCCUACGAGGCGGUUGUUGACGACGGUCCGCAAAAUGAUAAUCUCCAUCAUCAUAGCGGCCGUGUUGUGGUUGAGGACGAGGGGGCGGGGUGAUCUCGCGCCGCGAUCGCUGUUUACGUCCGCGAGGACGGACGAGGACCCAUUCCUCGUCAUGCCACGCCGCCAUUUUUCGACAACCGAAAGUGAUAUUUAAUGUAAAAUGGAUUUUGUGUAUAAAAAUAUAGUAGGAAUGAAGGUAGGUAGGUAGAAAGAAAAAAUAAAUUGGUAGAAAAGAAAUAAAAUAGAAAGACUCCGGCGCGUUUCAGUGACGUCACGUCAGCGCAAACCGGAUGUCUUUCGAAAAAAACCACAGAAGAAGAAGACCAGCUUCUUCGAAGGAAAAAUAAUAUAAAGAAAAUAAACAACUAAGGGCGGUUCUAUACAGAACGAUGGAAAACUCCAAGGUCGUUGGAGAACAAGGACAUCCGGAGCACUCCCUGCGUCGGAUACGUCCAUGUUGCUAGGUCCAUGACCCUGUAACUAAGGUAAGUAUUUUAGUAUUGUUUCUGUCUUUUUUCAGUCGUUGGAGUAGAGGACAACGUCCGUUCCCCAAGGUGAGAGACAUGACAAUAAAGGUAAGUGUUUUUGAUGUUGUUGUAAUAUGUUCUUUCUUUCAUUUUGUUGUUGUUUUUUUACAGGUACUCGUGGGAAGACGAGGACUACCGGGGCAUCCCUUGCACCAGAGACGUCCGGAUUCCCAGGUGAGUAGUGAGGUAAGUAUUGUUGUGAGUAAUGAUGUGUGUGUUGGUGUGGAUGAGAGGUGAAACCAGGAGGGUCCCCAAUGGGCGGAGCGCGAGCCGUGUGUGGACCAGAGGCACAGGCGGGUUAGGGUUGGGGUUGGGGUUGGGGUUAGGGUUAGAGUUAGGAGUUAGGGUUAGGUAUAAAGAGAAGGAGAGAUGGGUAGGUGUUAGGUGUAAAGAAAAGAGAGAUGGGUAGGUUUUAGGAGUGAAAAAGGAGAGUGGUUAGGGUUAGGGUAAGGGGUGGGGGAAGGGCGAUAAAAGAGUGUAAAAAAGAAUAUAAGAGGGGUGUGCACGGUCCGUCUAUGGCCCAGCGGGCUCGCACUCACGCCUCAUUGAGGCCCCCCGGAUGUCUGGUCCCCAACUUUGUGAUCCACAGGCGUUCGGCACGCUUCCGUUGGGCCACACUCCAUCUCGCGUCAGUCUGAACAACGCACACCCGAACAGAAGUCCACCCGUGCCGGAUAAAAUGUUGUACCAGCGGCCGGAAGACCUUACCACUGUGGCGGUUCAAAAGCCAGGGGAUGUGCUGCAGGGGAAUGCCGCUCCUGGUCAAGGGCGGACCUCCGGGGGAACUGACCCGGGCCCUGAUCAGCAACUCGCCCAGGCUAGGGUUUUUGCGGAAGGCCGACACCAGGUAAUACUCUUUCAGCCGUUCACUCUUUUCCACAAAGGCCCUGAAAUUUUCCU